rnacentral:lncRNA from 1 species
UCACCCUCUAAAUCACCCUCUUGGAACCAAGUUCCUCCCCUUCUCCUUCUUCAUUUGGAGCGGUUUGAGCUUACCGUAGACUCUACCCGUCUUCUCCAAAUCUGCACAUCACUUCUCUAAAAUCCUUAUCUUUCCAUUAAAAACCCUUCAUCUCUCCCUCACAUUUGCUCUCCUAAGUUCUGUGCUAGUCCUGCCUGUGCAAAUGGCUCCCAAGAUGAAGCUUCCAUAGAGGAGAAAAUCAGUUCGCGGGUUGGAGAAAAGUGUGCGUCGAAAGAGACUAG